UUGCCCAGUGAUUAUAAAAAGACGCGUUAUUGUGAGGGUUAAUACUAGAACCAGUUGAGCUCUUUUUUCUUUUCUUUUUUUACCCCCUCCCCCCACCACUCCCUCUCUCCUAAACCACCCCCACUUACAUUUUCAUCUCUCCCAACUGGAUGCUAGUAUCCUUUGAGCAAACAAAGAUUAUGAGGGCAU
ensembl:snoRNA SNORD97 small nucleolar RNA, C/D box 97